GAUUUCAGCUGAAAAAGUCAUCAACAACAAAGUUGUAUAACUCGUCAAUAUCUAUAACUUUUAUUUUAGUCAUUUCUUCAUCCGAUAAAAUGAUGAUAGUAACAUUGUUCACAAAAUUUACAUAUCUUAUAUGGUUUUAUAAACUAUAAGAGAGAUAUGUAUUUUUUUUGAAAAUGUUACUAUCACUUUAUCGGAUGAAGAAAUGACCAAAAUAAAAGUUAUAGAUCUUGAUGAGUUAUACAACUUUGUUAUUGAUGACUUUUUCAGCUGAAAUU
rnacentral:pre_miRNA from 1 species